GACGGAGGAGGCAAGCGUUAUCCGGAAUUAUUGGGCGUAAAGCGUCCGCAGGCGGCUGGUUAAGUCUGCUGUGAAAGAGCGAAGCUCAACUUCGUAAAGGCAGUGGAAACUACACGGCUAGAGUGCGUUCGGGGCAGAGGGAAUUCCUGGUGUAGCGGUGAAAUGCGUAGAGAUCAGGAAGAACACCGGUGGCGAAGGCGCUCUGCUAGGCCGCAACUGACACUGAGGGACGAAAGCUAGGGGAGCGAAUGGG
rnacentral:rRNA from 1 species